rnacentral:rRNA from 1 species
ACGAACGCUGGCGGCGUGCUUCACACCUGCCAGUCGAACGCGAGCGUAGAGAAAGCUUGCUUUUUCUACAAUCUAGUGGCAAACGGGUGAGUAACGCGUAAACAACCUGCCCUACGGAUGGGGACAACAGCUGGAAACGGCUGCUAAUACCGAAUACGUUCCGAAAGUCGCAUGACUAUCGGAAGAAAGGAUGGCCUCUAUUUAUAAGCUAUCGCCGGAGGAGGGGUUUGCGUCUGAUUAGCUAGUUGGAGGGGUAACGGCCCACCAAGGCGACGAUCAGUAGCCGGUCUGAGAGGAUGAACGGCCAUAUUGGAACUGAGACACGGUCCAGACUCCUACGGGAGGCAGCAGUGGGGAAUCUUCCGCAAUGGGCGAAAGCCUGACGGAGCAACGCCGCGUGAGUGAAGACGGCCUUCGGGUUGUAAAGCUCUGUUAUACGGGACGAAUAAUCUUGUGGUUAAUACCCAUGAGAAGUGACGGUACCGUAAGAGAAAGCCACGGCUAACUACGUG